rnacentral:rRNA from 1 species
ACGUAGGUGGCGAGCGUUGUCCGGAAUUAUUGGGCGUAAAGAGCAUGUAGGCGGUUUUUUAAGUCUGGAGUGAAAAUGCGGGGCUCAACCCCGUAUGGCUUUGGAUACUGGAAGACUUGAGUGCAGGAGAGGAAAGGGGAAUUCCCAGUGUAGCGGUGAAAUGCGUAGAUAUUGGGAGGAACACCAGUGGCGAAGGCGCCUUUCUGGACUGUGUCUGACGCUGAGAUGCGAAAGCCAGGGUAGCGAACGG